UUUCAAAGUCUUUUUAACAUCCGGGAAAUUCGAAAUGACUGAGGUACCCCGCAUGUUCCAUUUGUCCAGGGUGGCUAAAGGAGUAAUUUCAUUCACCUCUUCAGCCUAUAUAAGCAAAAUUUUGGGGGUUUCUCCUUCAGAAGCCGCCGUCGAUCUUCUAAACCCUCACGUCGUCGUCUCCUUAACAGCAGUGCGAAAUGGAUGCCGGGGUGAAGCAUGCUGUGGUGGUGAAAGUUAUGGGUCGAACUGGAUCAAGGGGUCAGGUGACACAGGUGAGAGUGAAGUUUUUGGAUGAUCAGAAUAGGUUUAUUAUGAGGAAUGUGAAGGGACCAGUCAGAGAAGGAGACAUCCUCACCCUGCUCGAGUCUGAGAGGGAGGCCAGAAGGUUGCGUUGAUGGGUUCAUCUUUGUUCCCACAUCCAUAUUUUGGUGGCUCGAUUAUGAGUUUUGUAGUGGCAGCUAGUAUAUGACUAUGACUGUUUUAUCCUGAGUUAUGUUGAAGCUCGAUUACGAAUUUCUUGGUUUUUAAAGUUCAAAUGUAGUGUGAAGAUUGUUAUCUUUCUGGAACACUUAAAAUUUACUUGUUUUGGAAUGCAUUGGCUUGAUCGAUGACAGUA